rnacentral:rRNA from 1 species
GACAGAGGGUGCAAACGUUGUUCGGAAUUACUGGGCGUAAAGCGCGUGUAGGCGGCCCUGCAAGUCGGAUGUGAAAUCCCACGGCUCAACCAUGGAAGUGCAUUCGAAACUGCAGAGCUAGAGUCCUGGAGAGGAAGGUGGAAUGCUUGGUGUAGAGGUGAAAUUCGUAGAUAUCAAGCGGAACACCGGUGGCGAAGGCGGCCUUCUGGACAGUGACGUGACGCUGAGACGCGAAAGCGUGGGGAGCAAACAGGGAGUUAAGAUAUC